rnacentral:rRNA from 1 species
GACGAACGCUGGCGGCGUGCUUAACACAUGCAAGUCGAACGGUGAAGCGCCUUCCUUUUUGGUGGGUGUGGAGGAGUGGCGAACGGGUGAGUAACACGUUAGUAACCUGCCCCCUUCUGCUGGAUAACCGCAUGAAAGCGUGGCUAAUACGGGAUAUUCUGGGUCUGUCGCAUGAUGGGUCUGGGAAAGCUAUUGCUUCUGGGGGGGAUGGGCUCGCGGCCUAUCAGGUUGUUGGUGUGGUGAUGGCCUACCAAGGCGGUGACGGGUAGCCGGCCUGAGAGGGUGGGCGGCCCCACUGGGGCUGAGACACCGCCAAGACUACGACAGGAGGCAGCAGUGGAUGUUAGUGAACGGUGGGAGCAAGCAUGAUGCAGCGACGCCGCGGGGUGGAUGGCGGCCUGGGGGUAAAGAACCUCUUUCGCCAGUGAAGCGGGGCUGCCUAGUUUGUGGGUGGAUUGACGGUAGCUGGAUAAGAAGCGCCGGCUAACUACGUG